AUUCAGUUGAUUUCCGUAGUUCAAACAAGCAACACCUUCGGAAUUGAACUCCAAAUUCUAAGUGAUUUUCGGUUGACUUUUAAAUUUAACAAAUUUUCGGCUAGUUUUAAGAAUAAAGUUUUGUUAUUUAAUAUUAGUUCUAAGUAUAAAGUGAAAUUACUUAUAUCGAAUCAUAGUGCACCAGAAUUCUUGAAACACCAAAAACUGACUCGGCUCUUCCUUCUCUAAAUGCCAUGAUGACACCAUUACAUGUGUACUUGCAAUCAGAAACUCUACCAGACUCAAAACCAUAUGAUAUACAUCAGUUCGCAGAAUAUAUGUGGAUAUAAAACUAAAACCGUUAUACAUAAGAAUAAUAUAAUAUUUUAAUACUAAUCAUAGAGAUGACUCUCUCUCCUCGUUCAGACACACCAUGCCUGGAUCAAACACACCAAACUGGCCAAGCAGGAGACCUUCCCUAAAUGCCAUGAUGACACCGUUACAUGUGGAUCGGUAAUUUGAUAUUACAUAU
rnacentral:sRNA from 1 species